GGGCAGUUAGCUCAGCUGGAAGAGCAUUUCCCUUACAAGGAAGAGGUCGCAGGUUCAAAUCCUGCACUGCCCACCA
rnacentral:tRNA from 1 species